rnacentral:misc_RNA from 1 species
UUGUAAACAAGGAAAUUGAUAAUCAUCAUUCUCAUGCAGCAAAUUAUGUGGCAUCAAAAGGAGAUCUUGUAAACAAGGAAAUUGAUCAUCAUCAUUCUCUCAAACAUUUCUAAUGCUAAGAACACAUCAUUUGAUUGAGUCAUUUCAUCGAACACGUAGAUAAUAUUGUCAAUUAGUGCAUUCAUAUGAAUUAAGUCUUCAGCAAUGGCAGUACUUCAAUCUCGGUUGGACUAGCUUGAGAUGCCUCAACAGGCUCAAAUGAAUGCACAGCAUAUGCAAUUUCGAUCUCACCAAAAUAAGUUGAUGCAACUAGAUUUGCACUUUUUCAGAUCGGGCCAUAAAUUCGAGAAGUUGGA